rnacentral:pre_miRNA from 1 species
GGUGUGAUUGCUGGAUCACAUGGUAAGAGUAUGUUUAGUUUUGUUAAGAAACUGCCAAACUGUGUUACAAAGUGGUUGUAUUAUUUUACAUUCCCUCCAGCAAU